rnacentral:rRNA from 1 species
AGCAGCCGCGGUAAUUCCAGCUCCAAUAGCGUAUAUUAAAGUUGUUGCAGUUAAAAAGCUCGUAGUUGAAUUUCGGGGUCAGUAGGUCGGUCGUGCCACUGGUAUGAACUGGUUUUACUGAUUCCUCCCUCUUGAAGAACUGUAAUGCCAUUAAUUUGGUGUUGCAGGGAAUCAGGACUGUUACUUUGAAAAAAUUGAGUGUUUAAAGCAGGCUUUAGCUUGAAUACAUUAGCAUGGAAUAAUGAAAUAGGACGUUUGAUCCUAUUUUGUUGGUUUCUAGGAUUGACGUAAUGAUUAAUAGGGAUAGUUGGGGGCAUUAGUAUUCAAUUGUCAGGAGGUGAAAUUCU